GGCUUACCAUGCAGUCGACGGGCGUAGCAAUACGUCAGUGGCAGACGGGUGAGUAACGCGUGGGAACGUACCUUUUGGUUCGGAACAACACAGGGAAACUUGUGCUAAUACCGGAUAAGCCCUUACGGGGAAAGAUUUAUCGCCGAAAGAUCGGCCCGCGUCUGAUUAGCUAGUUGGUGAGGUAAUGGCUCACCAAGGCGACGAUCAGUAGCUGGUCUGAGAGGAUGAUCAGCCACAUUGGGACUGAGACACGGCCCAAACUCCUACGGGAGGCAGCAGUGGGGAAUAUUGGACAAUGGGCGAAAGCCUGAUCCAGCCAUGCCGCGUGAGUGAUGAAGGCCCUAGGGUUGUAAAGCUCUUUUGUGCGGGAAGAUAAUGACGGUACCGCAAGAAUAAGCCCCGGCUAACUUCGUGCCAGCAGCCGCGGUAAUACGAAGGGGGCUAGCGUUGCUCGGAAUCACUGGGCGUAAAGGGUGCGUAGGCGGGUUUCUAAGUCAGAGGUGAAAGCCUGGAGCUCAACUCCAGAACUGCCUUUGAUACUGGAAGUCUUGAGUAUGGCAGAGGUGAGUGGAACUGCGAGUGUAGAGGUGAAAUUCGUAGAUGUUCGCAAGAACACCAGUGGCGAAGGCGGCUCACUGGGCCAUUACUGACGCUGAGGCACGAAAGCGUGGGGAGCAAACAGGAUUAGAUACCCUGGUAGUCCACGCCGUAAACGAUGAAUGCCAGCCGUUAGUGGGUUUACUCACUAGUGGCGCAGCUAACGCUUUAAGCAUUCCGCCUGGGGGAGUACGGGUCGCAAGAUUAAAACUUCAAGGAAUUUGACGGGGGGCCCGCACAAGCGGGUGAGCAUGGUGGUUUAUUCCGACGCACCGCUGCAGAACUUUACUCAGCCUCUGGACAAUGUCCAGGACCGGGUCGCAGAGAACGUGAACCUUUCUCUUUCGAAACCUUGGAAGCACAGCUGC
rnacentral:rRNA from 1 species